AUGCGUGAAGGCAUAGAGGAGGUCUUUCCGUUGGCAGUGCACAGGCACUGCAGGUGGCACAUUAUAAAGAAGGCCGAGGAGAUGCUAGGACCGUUAUUUGCUGACCGUCCAAAGCUGCACAAGGCAUUCGAGCUGUGCGUGGACCACAGCUUGACGGUGGAGGAGUUUGAACGGAGCUGGAUGGCUAUGACUGAAACAUAUCAAGUCCAAGACAACGAGCCGCUUGCUAGCCUGUGGGAUAAGCGAAUGUACUGGGUGCCGGCCUACUUCAUGCACUGCUUCUUCCCAUUUCUGCAGACUACGCAGUGCAGCGAGGGAUUCAAUGCUGUUCUGAAGCGGUACAUGAGCCCUGGCAACUCAUUGCUGCAGUUUCCCAAGCAAUACACGGCUUUGCAACAAAAAAUACUGGGAUCUGAGCUACAGCAAGAAGCAAACACCGCGCUCAAGCAGCCUAAAUUGUUAACAUAUUUACCAAUGGAGAGGCAGAUGAGCAAGACAUAUACCAACAAGAUUUUUAACAAGUAA
rnacentral:rRNA from 1 species